ACUCCUACGGGAGGCAGCAGUGGGGAAUAUUGGACAAUGGGCGCAAGCCUGAUCCAGCAAUACCGCGUGUGUGAAGAAGGCCUUCGGGUUGUAAAGCACUUUCAGCAGCGAGGAAAGUUUAUUCGUUAAUAGCGGAUAGAAUUGACGUUAGUUGCAGAAGAAGCACCGGCUAACUCUGUGCCAGCAGCCGCGGUAAUACAGAGGGUGCAAGCGUUAAUCGGAGUUACUGGGCGUAAAGGGCGCGUAGGUGGCUUGUUAAGCCAGAUGUGAAAGCCCCGGGCUCAACCUGGGAACUGCAUUUGGAACUGGCAGGCUAGAGUUUUGUAGAGGGUGGUAGAAUUUCAGGUGUAGCGGUGAAAUGCGUAGAGAUCUGAAGGAAUACCGGUGGCGAAGGCGACCACCUGGCCAAUAACUGACACUGAGACGCGAAGGCGUGGGUAGCAAACGGGAUUAGAUACCCUGGUAGGCUCUG
rnacentral:rRNA from 1 species